rnacentral:lncRNA from 1 species
UCGCAACCUUGGGCAAAAGGUGCUGGCGACUCUGCCCAAGGUGCUAGCGUUGAGUUUUCCUUGGCGCAUUCCGCGCCGGGGUACGUUAGUCCGCACGAGGCACAGUUUCGUGCGCAUCGGCGGGUUGGGUCGGCGGCGCGGGGUCUUUCGGCCCCGCGCCGCCUCCCCGGAGUAUUUAAUCACGAAUUCGCGGUCUGCUUUGCAGGUUUCGACAAUGAUCCUUCCGCAGGUUCCCUACGGAAACCUUGUUACGACUUCUCCUUCCUCUAAAUGAUAAGGUUCAGUGGACUUCUCGCGACGUCGCGGGCAGCGAACCGCCCACGUCGCCUCGAUCCAAACACUUCACCGGACCAUCAAUCGGUAGGAGCGACGGGCGGUGUGUACAAAGGGCAGGGACGUAGUCAACGCGAGCUGAUGACUCGCGCUUACUAGGAUUCCUCGUUGAAGACCAACAAUUGCAAUGAUCUAUCCCCAUCACGAUGAAAUUCAAAGAUUACCCGGACCUGUCGGCCAAGGCUAUAAACUCGUGAAUACAUCAGUGUAGCGCGCGUGCGGCCAGAACAUCUAAGGGCAUCACAGACCUGUUAUUGCCUCAACUUCCGCGGCCUAAAGGCCGUAGUCCCUCUAAGAAGCUGGCCACGAAGGGAUACCUCCGCAUAGCUAGUUAGCAGGCUGAGGUCUCGUUCGUUAACGGAAUAACCAGACAAAUCGCUCCACCAACUAAGAACGGCCAUGCACCACCACCCAUAGAAUCUAGAAAGAGCUCUCAGUCUGUCAAUCCUUACUAUGUCUAGGCUGUAGUUUUGGAGUAUGUGUUGGCUGCAUGCUCUUUUCAGGGUAUACCCUGUGUAUAUGUAAUUCCGGUUCUCAGUUAUACAAUUUUACUCCCCCCGGAACCCAAAGACUUUGAUUCUCAUAAGGUGCCGGCGGAGUCCUAAAGCAACAUCUGAGACUAGGACGGUAUCUGAUCGUCAGACUAGGACGGUAUCUGAUCGUCUUCGAGCCCCCAACUUUCGUUGAUUAAUGAAAACAUCCUUGGCAAUGCUUUCGCAUUGUUCGUCUUUCAUAAAUCCAAGAAUUCACCUCGACUAUGAAUACGAAUGCCCCCGACUGUCCCUGUUAUCAUUACUCCGAUCCCGAAGGCCAACGUAAUAGGACCGAAAUCCUAUAAUGUAUCCCAUGCUAAUGUAUCCAGAGCGUAGGCUGCUUUGAGCACUCUAAUUCUCAAAGUAACAGCGCCGGAGGCACGACCCGGCCAGUAAGACCAGGAGCGCAUCGCCGGCAGAAGGGACGAGACAACCGGGCACACCAGAGGCGGACCGGCCGACCCAACCCAAAGUCCAACUACGAGCUUUUAACUGCACAACUUAAAUAUACGCUAUUGGAGCUGGAUUACCGCGGCUGCUGCACCAGACUUGCCCUCCAAUGGAUCCUCGUAAGGGAUUUAGAUUGUACUCAUUCCAAUUACCAGACUCAUAGAGCCCGGUAUUGUUAUUUAUUGUCACUACCUCCCCGUAUCAGGAUUGGGUAAUUUGCGCGCCUGCUGCCUUCCUUGGAUGUGUAGCCGUUUCUCAGGCUCCCUCUCCGGAAUCGAACCCUAAUUCCACUAUCCUACCAUCGAAAGUUGAUAGGGCAGAAAUACCAUCGAAAGUUGAUAGGGCAGAAAUUUGAAUGAUGCGUCGCCGGCACGAGGGCCGUGCGAUCCGUCGAGUAGCCCGUGUCGACCUUUUAUCUAAUAAAUGCAUCCCGACCUUUUAUCUAAUAAAUGCAUCCCUUCCAGAAGUCGGGGUUUGUUGCACGUAUUAGCUCUAGAAUACUACAAACUAUAACUGAUUUAAUGAGCCAUUCGCAGUUACUGAUUUAAUGAGCCAUUCGCAGUUUCACAGUCUGGCUUAAUCUUGAGACAAGCAUAUGACUACUGGCAGGAUCAACCAUAUGACUACUGGCAGGAUCAAGCACCGCGCGAUACAAGCCGCAAGGACUCCGCGCGAUGCAAGCCACAAGGAUCGCGACGGCGACGGUCGCAUAGGGUAAAAACGCAUUUUCUUGGGGUAAAUAGAGGGCCAACGCCUCGCCUCGUACCCACUCAAUAUCCGAGAGAUCGAGCGUGCCGCCGUGCGCCAACAACCCGGGGACAGUUACGUCUGGGAUGUGGAACACGACGGAUUGAAAAGGAUGCAACGCAAGACGAAACGAGGCUUUUAACCGACACGAUACCAACACGAUAGGUACGCAGCACAGGAAACCGACACCGAUCAAGGCACACUUGAACCGACGAUUGAAGAGGCGCGCACAAGUUGCCGUCGCUGCCCGAGCAGGGAUCCGACAAGCCCGUGCGCACCAAGCACCACUCACGCGCCCUGCCGUACGCAAUGCACGAGAAGGCGCAUCGUUGUCCAACCAAAAGCAAUGCAAGAGCACAGCACUGGACAAACAACAACAACACUGGACAAACAACAACAAGCCCACCCGAUGCAAGCCCACUUUUUCUUUGCGGUGUCACCACCACCCACUUAUUUGCACCACCACCCACUUGUGCGGUCUUAUUUGCACCGCCACCCACUUAUGUGGUCUUAUUUGCACCACCACCCACUUAUGUUCCAUCACUGAGUGAGUCCGAGCGAAACAUUCCAACGGGCACCGACAACAUGCAUUCGUGAAUAUCCAACCUUGAGUAGUGCUUCCUUGAGUAGUGGCUCGAGCGAAACUUCCAAUGAGCACCGCAACAUUCAGGCAACCAUGCCAACCAACAGCCGCUGCCCGAAACAACUCACUUUCUCGACAGAGCGGGGUUCGAAGCAUAACUCGUUCUACCCACACCAUUUUCGAAUGAGAGCCAUCCCACGAAGCACCGACUGCCGUAUAGCAACGCAUCGCCUAUAUUCCCAUCACCUACUAGCACCGAUUCGCUCGAGAGCCACAAAUAAUCAUGCCCAUCAUGCAUCACCGGAGUAGAGAAACGAGCGAGACAACCUUUCCCAAUAGGCAACGCGCAAACCAACAGCAUUGCCCGAAGGACAACUCACUUCCUCGACAGAGUGGGGUUCGAAGCAUAACUCGUACUAUCCACACCAUUUUCGAAUGAGAGCCAUCCCACAACGCAACACAGCCGUUCGACACUCCAAUCGCCUAUUGGGGGCUAUUGAGAAAGAACUCCACCCAAUGAUGGUCCGACAAGCACAAAUUAUCAUACCAUACCAACCCGUAAGAAUGCAUGUUGCCGGGCUUCGCCGAAGCACCGCACCGGCCUCAUCUUGAUUACCGACAAGCCAACUUCUUUUUGCGACAAGCAACCUUCUUUAUUCGGCAUCUUUCUUGACUGGAAAAAAAAAAAAAAAGGGCCUCUUCCGAAAGGGACUGGACGACCGACCGCCGCCGCAAAAAAAAAUUUUUUUUUUUUCCGACCGACCGCCGUUGGGGGUGGUGGCGCCGUUGGGUUGGGUGGUGGCCGUGGUGGUGCCGCCCGCCCGUCCUGCCGCAGGGGGGCGCGAGCAACUUUCGCCCGCCACCACGGCAGGCCCAAGUUGCUAGCACCUUGGGCAAAUUUGCCAAAGUUGCUAGGGCAAAGUUGGACACCUUGGGCAUAUAGUAGUGAAAUGCCCCUAUAGUAGUGAAAUAGACAUAAUCAGCCAAAUGACCACUAGACAUUGAAAAUGCCGAGGGAAGCAACUUUUUUAUUUCUCAAUAUUUUAUAUCUUAUUCAACUUAUUUUUUAACCAAAUUUUUUUCUAACAUUAUUUUUCCGAUCUGUAAUUAUUUUUAUUUAUUUUUUUCAUUCGAAAAUAUUUUUAAUUACCAAAUAAAUAGAGAAAAAUAUCAAUAUACAUUUUAAAAAUCACGAAAAUUAUGCCAAAUAGUUCCUGUUGAUAUUACAAUAAUUGUUGAUUUUUUUUUUAUUUUUCUGGUUUGUAAUUAUAUUUUUUAUUAUUUUAAUUCAAAAAAAUACAAUAAAAUAGAUAAUAAAUAGAGAAAAAUAUCGAAAUAUAUUUAAAAAUCACGAAAGUUAUGCCAAUUAGUUCCUGUUGAUUAUUCAAGAGUUCUGAAAUUUUAUUUUAUUUUUCUGGUUUUUAUUUAUAUUUUUUUAUUAUUUUAAUUCAAGAAAUACAGUAAAAUAGAUAAUAAAUAGAGAAAAAUAUCAAAAUAUAUUCGAAAAAUCACGAAAAUUAUCCCAUUUGGCUCCUGCUGUAGUUACAUGAAUUUAUGAAAUUUUUAUUUUAUUUUUAUGAUUUUUAAUUACAUUUUUUUAUUAUUUUAAUUCAAAAAAUAGAUAAUAAUUAGAGAAUAUUAAUUCGGGUAUGAGGUUUGAAGAGUGGAAAGGUACUGUGGAUAGUUCUUUUACGAAAUAGUAAUUAUUAUUUAUAUUAUUCGGGUACUUUUAAUAUUUAAUUUCUAUUUAUUAACUAAUAUAUUCGUUAAAAUAGUGAAAAAAACACAAAAACACCAAAGCUCGUUACUACACCGAAAAACAUAACCAUUCUCCGUGGAAUCAUACCCCCCCCACAAGUGAACGUGACGAUAUCAUCUUCGUAGCAAAAGAUACGUUGAAAACAUUUGUCAUUGUUCAUCGACUUAUUGUUCCCUAACAACAUGCCUUGCCCAAACUAGUCGGUCCCGACGUUUUCGGAGCAAUUCUCGAAAUCUGAGAAAACGGCCCCGACAACCACCGUGCCAAAUUCAAUUUCCUACGCGCUCGUAUUUUUUAUUAUUUUUUUCGGGUCGGAAAAUUUUCGGACUUUCGGCACCGGCCCAGCCAAGGUGCUGGCGACUCUGCCCAAGGUGCUAGCAACCUUGGGCAAAAACUAGUCGCUCCCGACGUUUUCGGAGCAAAUCUCGAAAUCUGAGAAAACGGCCCCGACAACCACCGUGCCAAAUUCAAUUUCCUACGCGCUCGUAUUUUUUAUUAUUUUUUUCGGGUCGGAAAAUUUUCGGACUUUCGGCACCGGCCCAGCCAAGGUGCUGGCGACUCUGCCCAAGGUGCUAGCAACCUUGGGCAAAAACUA